UGUGGUGGGUUAAUUAAGAGCUGAAUU
rnacentral:piRNA from 1 species